rnacentral:rRNA from 1 species
GAUGAACGCUGGCGGCGUGCCUAAUACAUGCUAGUCGAGCGAACAGACGAGGAGCUUGCUCCUCUGACGUUAGCGGCGGACGGGUGAGUAACACGUGGAUAACCUACCUAUAAGACUGGAAUAACUUCGGGAAACCGGAGCUAAUACCGGAUAACAUGUUGAACCGCAUGGUUCAACAGUGAAAGACGGUUUUGCUGUCACUUAUAGAUGGAUCCGCGCCGCAUUAGCUAGUUGGUAAGGUAACGGCUUACCAAGGCAACGAUGCGUAGCCGACCUGAGAGGGUGAUCGGCCACACUGGAAGUGAGACACGGUCCAGACUCCUACGGGAGGCAGCGAUAGGGAAACUUCCGCAAUGGGCGAAAGCCUGACGGAGCAACGCCGCGUGAGUGAAGAAGGUCUUCGGAUCGUAAGACUCUGUUAUUAGGGAAGAACAAAUGUGUAAGUAACUAUGCACGUCUUGACGGUACCUACUCAGAAAGCCACGGCUAACUACGUG